rnacentral:lncRNA from 1 species
UACCUUCCUGGUAUCCUUCAAUAGAUACCUAAAUCUUAUAGCAUCCCUUAGUAGAUGCUACCAAAAAAAAAUAUGUUAAAAAAUACCAAUAUUUACAAAUCCAACUAAAAGAAAAAUAGUAUACAACAAUCACUGGGGUGCCUCCCAGUUAGCGCUUUUUUAACGUCAUUAGAUUGACUAGGUAGAGUUCAAACACCCAUCAGUAGGCGUUGAUACUCCUUUUGCUUGCUAUUUUCUUCUUUUUCUUCUUCUUGCUGAAUCUCUUCAAAAAGUUGACCAAACCAAGCACUGGUUUCCAUGUUUCAAUCAUAGGAAUUUUGAUCUCCAAUUUCUUGAAGAUCUCCAUACAGUACUUGAACUUCUUUUCCUUCCUAUGAUCUUUCUUUUUAUGAGGAAGGGGCUUUUCAUAUGAUCUUUUCUUCUUUCCUCUCUUCCUCUUUUUCUCAACCUUCUUCUUCUACUUUCUUUUUUUCUUUUUUCUUAUUUUCUUAUUUUUUCUUUUUUUCUCAACCACUGCUUUUUCUUUCUCCUCAUCUUUCUCUCCCUCACUCAACCUUUCUGCUUCAUCUUCCUCUAUUUUCUCCUCUUCUAUCUUUUCCACUCCUCUUUCCACCUUCUCCUCAUCAACAACCUCAUCAAUUUGUGUCUCCAAAUUCCUGAAUGUAACUUCAUAUCUCUUGGAAUCACACCUCUCUAGAAAUUUGUCGAACUUUUCAUUCAAGCUUUUGACUUGUUCCGUCACAUCAGCUGUUUGUUGACAAAGUUGUUAAUCAUACUCCCACGUUUCUAUUGGUGAAGAGUAUUGUUGCUGCCACUGAUAAUAUUGCCUCUCCUCCAUGCUACCAUGAGAAGAAAAUCUUGUAUCCAUGUCUUGUGGAAAGAAUUCAUUAUUCUUUAUAUUCUCCUCAAUGCCUUUGACAUGGUAUGGUUC